rnacentral:rRNA from 1 species
UACGUAGGGGGCAAGCGUUGUCCGGAUUUAUUGGGCGUAAAGAGCGUGUAGGCGGCUUUACAGGUCCGUUGUGAAAACUCGAGGCUCAACCUCGAGACGCCGGUGGAAACCGUAAAGCUAGAGUCCGGAAGAGGAGAGUGGAAUUCCUGGUGUAGCGGUGAAAUGUGCAGAUAUCAGGAAGAACACCCGUGGCGAAGGCGGCUCUCUGGGACGGUACUGACGCUGAGACGCGAAAGCGUGGGGAGCGAACAGG